rnacentral:rRNA from 1 species
CACGUAGGGGGCUAGCGUUGUCCGGAUUUAUUGGGCGUAAAGAGCGUGUAGGCGGCCAGAUAGGUCUGCUGUGAAAACUCGAGGCUCAACCUCGAGAUGUCGGCGGAAACCAUUUGGCUAGAGUCCGGAAGAGGAAAGUGGAAUUCCUGGUGUAGCGGUGAAAUGCGCAGAUAUCAGGAAGAACACCCGUGGCGAAGGCAGGUCUCUGGGCCGAUACUGACGCUGAGGAGCGAAAGCGUGGGGAGCGAACAGG